GACGAACGCUGGCGGCGUGCUUAACACAUGCAAGUCGAACGGAAAGGCCCUGCUUUUGUGGGUUGCUCGAUUGGCGAACGGGUGAGUAACACGUGAGUAACCUGCCCUUGACUUUGGGAUAACUUCAGGAAACUGGGGCUAAUACCGGAUAUGAGCUCCUGCUGCAUGGUGGGGGUUGGAAAGUUUCGGCGGUUGGGGAUGGACUCGCGGCUUAUCAGCUUGUUGGUGAGGUAGUGGCUUACCAAGGCUUUGACGGGUAGCCGGCCUGAGAGGGUGACCGGCCACAUUGGGACUGAGAUACGGCCCAGAAUCCUACGGGACGCAGCAGUGGGGAAUAUUGCACAAUGGGGGGAAGCGUGAUGCAGCAGCGCCGCGUGCGGGAUGACGGCCUUCGGGUUGUAAACCGCUUUCGCAUGUGACGAAGCGUGAGUGACGGUAAUGGGUCAAGAAGCACCGGCUAACUACGUG
rnacentral:rRNA from 1 species